ACCCUACAAUAUAUCUCCGCCUCACGCUGAGGCAGGAGACUUCACUGUGGGUUUUCCUCAAGGGCGUCGACGUUUCCCCCAAAGCUACUUGCCAACUCGUGCUUGUGCUUGGACUUCAAGCAACGCCUUUCGUUCUGCGAUAAGCAAUUUCUGUUGUUGGUUAUAUGAAUACGGUUCAUGGGUUUUGCUAUUACUCACAAUUGAUGAUCCCUUUUCCUCCUACAUUUUGGUGGUAUCGGCUUCAGGGAAAUUCGCCAAGGUUCGUUUAUACCUCGAAAUAUUAGUAUCCCUUUCACUAUGGAGUUUCAAUUUUAACUUAUUGUGUUUAUAAUCUUCUGAUUAUUGACCUGAUUUUGGUUCUUCAUCUUGAGUGCUUUUUAAAUAUGCAAAUGAUAGUUUCUAUUUUAUAGUGGUUUUGAAUUUUUGUACUUUCAGUUUCGGCACUCCAACUGUUUGAUAUAAUGUCUAGGUGAAGUUUUUAACUUUUUUAUGAAAAUUUAAUAGUUUUAGCUAUGCUAGGUUAUGAUUUGAGUUUGAUAGUCUGUGUGAUAAACACACUUAGUAAUCUGUGUAUUUCCUGUGUGAAUCUCAACAAUAUGAGAAUUGAUAACUGGAUUGUCCAUCAAGAGUUUUAUGGAGAAGAGUUCAUGAGUGGUGAUGUCAAGAUUUUUUGCCCACAACUGGUAUUUCUUUAACUCUGGGGUAAUAAAGUUGUACAUUUUUUAAAGUAAAUCAAUAACUUUCUCUUAUAAAAUUUCCCUUCAUUUAACAUCUGUUGAUGACAGUUGCUCUUGAGGACUUGACUGAUCUUAACUCAUAAGGUCCUUUUUUGACAAUCCCAUGGAACGAUGGAAGAAUCUUGAAUUACUCGAUGAUGUUCAUGUUGUUGAGAAAACAAAGUGUUGACCGGAAUAAGACAUAUCCUUAUCUAGGCGUGGAUUUGGUUUUUUUGUCUUUUUUUUUUGCGAUUUUUAAACAAUUUUCAUAAGUCUUCAUCAAUUCAGUUGGAAUUGAGAUCUUUAUCUGUGUUUCUUUCAAAUGGUCUGAUUGAUGCAGCAAAGGGACUGAUUCAAAUGGUCUGAUUCAUAUUUCAAUUUAUGUUUCUUUUCAUGAUUUAACACUUCAUUUAUGUGGACAAUACAAAUUCUUGACAAUGUUGAAUUCUGAAAAGGUAUCAAGUAUGUUUAUGUAGAUGAUUCAAUGGAUGAUAUUGGUGAGAUUCCAAUUCUAUUGGAAUGGAAUCACAUAUUCCAAUUCUGUUGGAAUCACAUAAGUUGAUGCUUGAAGAACGGACCACAAAAUUGAAACGGACCACAUUAUUCUUUUAGAAUGUAUUAGUCGUUGAUAGAUUUUGAUGUUUUCUUUCCCGUUUUGAAAGUUUUUUUAGUUUUAUUCUUUAACAAUAAAUGUAAUUCUUAACAAUUGUUACCUGUAUUUUAUAAGAAAUAAUGUAUUUUUUAUUUUUAUUCUUCAA